rnacentral:misc_RNA from 1 species
GGGCGGGCUCUCGACAGCAACCGGUGGCACACUGGAACAUGGCACCGGCGGUGGGGUCGACGGGACGCGAUCGAGUAGCUCGUCGGGGGCUGAAACGGCCCGACAGCUCUGGUGUCGAUGGACAGGACGGUGACGGCGGCCUUGUGCAGGCAGCAGACAGGCACGGGGCGUAUGCAGAGCAGCAGGGGAAGCAAGGAGCUCGGCGGGCAGUAUUUAUAGAAUCAGGAACCGAAAUCGCCAUCAAUGGCGAGCGUUAUCUGCACGAAGAGAAAUUGCCACGUGGGAGUGGAAGAAGGGAAAGACACGACAGUUUCCGGAUGCGAGAGGGCGGGGAUGUGAGGAGGCCAGACCAGAGUCCACAUCGGGAGAUGAGGUGGCGGUACUGCGUGGAG